GUUGUAUGGUUAAGUGACUAAGCGUACACGGUGGAUGCCUUGGCAGUCAGAGGCGAUGAAGGACGUACUAACCUGCGAUAAGCCGUGAGCAGUCGGUAAGAGACAUUACGACUCACGGAUUUCCGAAUGGGGAAACCCACUUAGCAUAAGCUAGGUAUCGCUACGUGAAUACAUAGCGUAGCGAGGCGAACCGGGAGAACUGAAACAUCUAAGUACCCCGAGGAGAAGAAAUCAACCGAGAUUCCCUCAGUAGCGGCGAGCGAACGGGGAUUAGCCCUUAAGCAUCUUGGAAGUUAGUGGAACGGUCCUGGAAAGGCCGGCGAUACAGGGUGAUAGCCCCGUACACGAAAACAACCUUGAUGUGAAAUCGAGUAGGGCGGGACACGUGAUAUCCUGUCUGAAUAUGGGGGGACCAUCCUCCAAGGCUAAAUACUAAUA
rnacentral:rRNA from 1 species